CCCUUAGAUGUUCUGGGCCGCACACGCGCUACACUGAAGGAGGCAGCGUGUACUCCUGGAUCGAAAGAUUUGGGUAACCCGCGAAUCUCCUUCGUGCUAGGGAUUGAGGUUUGCAAUUAUCCUUCAUGAACGAGGAAUUCCCAGUAAGUGCAAGUUAUAAGCUUGCGCUGACUACGUCCCUGCCCUUUGUACACACCGCCCGUCGCUACUACCGAUUGAAUGAUUUAGUGAGGACUUCGGACUGGGACCGAUGCGGCUUUCGGGCUGCGUCGGUAUUCUGGAAAGAUGUCCAAACUGUAUCAUUUAGAGGAAGUAAAAGUCGUAACA
rnacentral:rRNA from 1 species